CCUACGGGAGGCAGCAGUGAGGAAUAUUGGUCAAUGGUCGGGAGACUGAACCAGCCAAGCCGCGUGAGGGAGGAAGGUACAGAGUAUCGUAAACCUCUUUUGUCAGGGAACAAAGGCGGGGACGUGUCCCCGGAUGAGUGUACCUGAAGAAAAAGCAUCGGCUAACUCCGUGCCAGCAGCCGCGGUAAUACGUAGGUGGCAAGCGUUAUCCGGAUUUAUUGGGCUUAAAGGGAGCGCAGGCGGUCUUUUAAGUCUGAGGUGAAAGCCCUGGGCUUAACCCGGGUAGUGCAUUGGAAACUGGGAGACUUGAGUGCAGAAGAGGUAUGUGGAAGGCGAGGUGUAGCGGUGAAAUGCGUAGAUA
rnacentral:rRNA from 1 species